rnacentral:rRNA from 1 species
UAAUGUAAUCGAUAUAGAUUUAAUGUUUAUCUACUAUAAAUUGUAGUAUAAGCAAGUAUAUAAAGAAACUAUUAGGAAGGCUUGCCAUAUAUUAAAGAGAGCUGUUUAAAUUGUGUUUUUUGAGGGCUGGCGUAAAAACCUCCCUCUAUUCAGUCAUCACAUAAACUCUUAGAGAAAUUCAGUAAUAAACGAAGUGAAUUGAAAUAUCUUAGUAACUUUAGGAAAAGAAAUCAAACGAGAUUCUGCGAUUAAUGUGAAUUAAAGCAGAAGAGCCUAGAGUAUUAAAUAAUUAUUUUUUAGGGUAGCAAUUGCAGCCCAUAAAUAAUUUAUAGCGAUGAGGAUAACUAAAUCGCUAUUAAUACUUUAAAUAAGUAAAACGGGCUAUAAACCUGUUUGAAUAUUAAGGGGAACCUUCCUCUAAGGCUAAAUAUAAUAUAUGAGCGAUAGUGAAAAGUGCCUGUGAAGGAAGCGUUUUAUUAGUAGUUUUAUAAGCAGCUCAAGCAAAGUUUAAAUACAUAGUGAGAGCGUACCUUUUGCAUAAUGGGUCAGCAAGUUAAUGUUAGAUGCGAGCAGGAAUGCCUAGAUAAACCAAUUAUGAAAUAAUGAAUUAGUAUCUAAAAUUAGACCCGAAGCCUAGUGAUCUUACCAUGAUCAGGGUUAUAAAAGCCCGAACGGGUUAUCGUUGUAAAGAUAUCCGAUGAAUUGUGGUAAGUUAGUGAAAGACAAUACUGACUAGGAUAGCUGGUUUUCUGCGAAACCUAUAUAAGUAGGUAAUUUAAAUUACAUCAUAGCAGGUACAGAACUGUGAUCUCAGGCAACUUUUAACUAGUGUAAGAAAGAAAUUUCUUAUAUUUAUUGAUUUUGCACAUAUCGGGGGAUCGUGAAGAUUUUAUCGGUGAGUAUUCGCACUCGGAAGGGCAAUGAUGAAUUUUGAAUAAUCGGACAUAGUACGAUAAGGUUGUAUGUCUAAAGGGAAACAGCCCAGAACAAGAGUUAAGGUUCCAAAAUUAUUGUUAAGUGAAAUUAAGGAAGUUUCUAUCUAAUACGACUAGGAAAUAGGCUUAGAAGCGGCCAUUUUUUGAAGACCUCGUAACAGAGCACUGGUUUAGUAUUUAGUUUACUAUUUACAUUGAUAGUGGCACCGAAAAUUUAACGGAUCUAAAUAAUAUACCGACACCUUGUCCAUAUUAAUAUAUAUAUUAUCAUAUUAUAUGGGGUAGCGGAACGUUGGGUAAAUUUUAGAUUUAAUCUUAAAUAGAUUAAUGAAUAAAUGACCCAAGUGAGAAUGCUGACAUGAGUAACGAAAAAGGGAUCAAAAUCCCUCGCCUAAAGCUUAUGGAAUUAUUAAAGUAACGGCCUCUAAGUUUAUAAAACCUAAAGGAUUAAACGAUGAGAAAAUCUUGUCUACAAAGUAACAACCUUUAUAUGACGAAAGUAAAAAUUUCGUUCUAAAGUGUAAAAGGUUCUGGAAAAACAGUAAGAUUCUUUUUAGCCAUGUGUUUUAUACGCAGGGUUAAAAAGGUGACAUAAUAACCGUACCUAAAUUCUACCCCAAGUAAGCUAGUAGAGAAUACGAAGGCGUUUGAGUGAACAAUCAUUAAGGAACUCGGCAAACUAACUACCGUAACUUAGGGAUAAGGAGAGCCAUUCCUCCUGAUUAAUAUCAGGUAAAGAAUAGGAAGCAUGGAAUAGUGUUGUACGACUGUUUAAUUAAAACAAAGCACUUUGCCUAUAAGAUAAUAAAUCAAAGUAUUGAGUGUGAUUUCUGCCCGAUGUCGGCUGGUUAACGGAUUAGCUAAGUUGACUAAAAUAAACUUGGUGUUGAAGGAAACCCCGAUCAAUGGCGGCCUUACCCUGAGGGUCCUAAGGUAGCGGAAUACCCUGGCCGUUAAAUGCGGUCUUGCAUGAAUGAUUUAACGAUACAACAGCUGUCUCAAUGAUUGGCUCAGUGAAAUUGGAAUAGCUGUGCAGAUACAGUUUACCUCUAGUUAGACGAGAAGACCCUAUGCAGCUUUACUGUUGCUAGUUAUUGAAUAUGAUUAAACUAUUUUUAGUAGUAUAAGGUAAUUGG